rnacentral:rRNA from 1 species
GACGAACCGUGCGAACGUUGUUCGGAAUCACUGGGCUUAAAGGGCGCGUAGGCGGGUCGCUAAGUCCGGGGUGAAAGCCCCCAGCUUAACUGGGGAAGUGCCUUGGAUACUGGCGGUCUCGAGGGGGAUAGGGGCCCGCGGAACUUCGGGUGGAGCGGUGAAAUGCGUUGAUAUCCGAAGGAACGCCGGUGGCGAAAGCGGCGGGCUGGAUCCCUUCUGACGCUGAGGCGCGAAAGCCAGGGGAGCAAACGGG